rnacentral:rRNA from 1 species
AUUGAACGCUGGCGGCAGGCUUAACACAUGCAAGUCGAGCGAGCGGCGCACGGGUGAGUCCUGUCUGGGACCCUGCUUGAUGGAGGGGGAUACCUCCUGGACACGGUAGCUAUUCCCGCUUACCUUCAGAUGUUCCCAGAUGGGAUUAGCUAGUAGGUGGGGUAAGGGCGCACCUAGGCGACGAUCCCCAGCUGGUCUGAGCGGGUGACCAGCCACACUGGAACGGAGACACGGUCCAGACUCCUAAGGGAGGCAGCAGGGGGGAAUAGUGCACAAUGGGCGCAAGCCUGGUGCAGCCAUGCCGCGUGUGUGAAGAAGGCCUUCGGGUUGUAAAGCACUGUCAGCGAGGAGGCGUUACUCGCAGAAGAAGCAACGGCUAACUCCGUGCCAGCAGCCGCGGUAAUAC